AACGAACGCUGGCGGCAGGCUUAACACAUGCAAGUCGAGCGCCCCGCAAGGGGAGCGGCAGACGGGUGAGUAACGCGUGGGAAUCUACCCAUCCCUACGGAACAACUCCGGGAAACUGGAGCUAAUACCGUAUACGCCCUUCGGGGGAAAGAUUUAUCGGGGAUGGAUGAGCCCGCGUUGGAUUAGCUAGUUGGUGGGGUAAUGGCCUACCAAGGCGACGAUCCAUAGCUGGUCUGAGAGGAUGAUCAGCCACACUGGGACUGAGACACGGCCCAGACUCCUACGGGAGGCAGCAGUGGGGAAUAUUGGACAAUGGGCGCAAGCCUGAUCCAGCCAUGCCGCGUGAGUGAUGAAGGCCCUAGGGUUGUAAAGCUCUUUCAACGGUGAAGAUAAUGACGGUAACCGUAGAAGAAGCCCCGGCUAACUUCGUGCCAGCAGCCGCAGUAACAC
rnacentral:rRNA from 1 species